ACCCAGGCCUUAGGCGCUGACCUACUAUAGCAUGAGGUCAUAAAGCUCCUGCUGGGUGAUGGGGCCUUGGGCAGGGAGAGGGCAGUCACUUUCCUAGCCUCACUAUACCCAUAGCCUGAGUUCAUACUCUUGAGUGACCUAUCCAUUCUGAUUUAGGGGGGGAAAAUGCAGGUAUCUGUUAGGGUAUGUUUGUAUAUAUAUGUGUGUGUGUGUGUAGUUCUUGGUCUGAGUUCUUGUAAGGAAACAGGAUCAGGCCUCUCCUCCCUUCAGCAGCCUCCUGGAAGCAAUUUGCUCUGCUGUUUGUCACCUGUAGAUAAGUCCUUUGUGAGGUUGGAUCAGAGUCCUGAAGGACAUGGGAGAAGUAUAGAUCAGGACUUAAACCAAGAAAAAGUGGUGGUUCUCCACCUUGGAUGUACUUUGGGUUUACCUGGGAUCUUCAAAAAUUACUGAUGCCUGGAUCCUACUUCCAGAGAUUCUGAUUCAGUUGGUCUGUAGUAUGCCUGGGCAUCAGAAUUUCUAAAAGCUCCUGAGGCAAUUCUAAUGUGCAUCCUAGGUUGAAACCCAUUAUUAAUGAGUGGGUUACAAUUGCAAUGAAAACCACAUGUGUGUGUAGGAGGGUAUCAUGCUGAGCAGUGACAAUGUGGAGAGUAGUCUAAUUGGGAUAAUGUUACCUUAGUAACUGGAAAGAACUUUCAGGAAGCUAGAAUUACCCAGGUAAAUUUGAGGAAAUUUUUCUUCAUCCUCUACCCCCUAUCCUAGGCAAAUCUGUGUCUAGUGGGUCCUCUCCUUUUACAACCCUGAUCUAUGUGUGAUUUCUUCUUGUGUCUCUGUAAGGGAUCGCAACCUGAUGUUUUGCUGGAGAAGAAGAGUGGUUUUUCCCUGGAGAAGAACCACUCUAGAGAGCCUUUCUACUCUCCCACUGUGACCCUUAUCUGUCCAAAUAGUCCUCUCUCAAGUCCCUCUGGAGAGUCUCCUGUGUGCCUAAUGACCUCUUUGUGUAUGGGGCGCACCUUCCCCCAUCCCAUCCCAGGAUGUAGAGGUAUCCCACAAAGUUGGCCAUCGCCUGAGCUGGCUGAGGUGGCAUGAAUAUGGGGCACGGGGAGUGGUCCUGCAGUGGUGGGAGAGAGUGUUGCCAAGAAAAGUUCCCAAAGGAGAUAUCACUGGGCUCAGGGGAGGGCAGGUCUCCUUAGACAGAGCUAAGGGUGUGGGUGCCAGGUCUUUGAGCAAAGUUUUGACAGUGGGCAUGGACCUCUGCUCUAGGAGAGGAAAUAAUAUCAAAUAUUUAUUGAACUCUUAUGUGUUAGGGGCUGUGCCAAACACUUGAAUGCAUUAUCUUAGUUAAUCCUUUUAGUAACAUCUAAAGUAGGUAUAGUCGGCCCUCUGUAUCCACAGUUAAAUGGAGGGCCAACUGUAAUCAUUGUACUACACCAUUCUAUAUAGGGGACUUAAGCAUUCUUGUAUUUUCCUAUCUGCUGGGGUUCCUGGAUCCAAUACCCCACGGAUACUAAGACAUGAUUGUACUAUUAUUUCCCCGUUUUACAAGUGAAUUAACAAGCUCAGAGAGGUUAAAUGAAUUAAUGUGAGUUAUACAGUUAGUUAAUGGAGGAUCUGGGAUUCAAAUCCACGUCUGCCUGAAUCCAUCUUUAAACAUUAAACAGCAGUUCCUUCUGAUGAAGGGAGAAACCAAUAUGUUCUUUCUGCUCGCCUGAGUGUGUGGUGCAGGGGGUGCAUGCUAGAUGGAAGUGCAAAGUGUUGUAAUGAGAAAGAAGUGGGCAGGAUGAGAGGAGAGCUGCAAUCGACCAAAUCAGAAACCCCAAGUUGCUUGUUAAGACAAGUGAAACCAAGUCUCUUCCUCCUAAUGCCCAUUUAGCACAUUUUUUUAUUAUGGUUAACAAGGAGAGGUCACCUGGUAUAGUAUAGUUAGCACCUCUUCUCCCUCCAGAAAGGAAUUCUGGGUGAGGUAGGCAAAGGUAGAGAGAGAGAGACAUACACAAGGACAAGAGAUACAGACAUAGGGCAAAGCUGAUGGUGCAAGGAGACAGAGAUGCAGAGGUACAGAGACAAUGAGAGUUAUUGAUAAACAGAGGCAGAGAAUGAUGCAUGUUCAUAUCCUAAGGGGGUUCCAGAAUGAAAAAGGGGUGGCUGAGGUAGGUGUGGAGAUGGGACUUUGGUGAAACUUGAUGAGGAUCUCUUUUGGAUUUUUCAUAGAGGGGGCUCACAGGGGAAGUUGAAUACCGAUGAACUCCUCUGCCAGAAGCCCAUACCUUCUCUUUUCUCUCUUUUGCUGUCUGAUUACCACGAUUCUCUGGGCUCCCUAAAUUUCACACUACCCUACCCUGACAUUAAGUAAGUCUGUCUCUCCUUUUGGCUCAUAGAGUCAGACUAAAAGUUGCUGAAGGAAAACAGAUGACGACUGAGUUCUGGGUGGAGUUGAUGAGCCCAAGGGCUGGGCUGUUUGGGCCAUGUCCUGCUUGUUAGUUUGCCUCCAGUGUGGCAUGUUCUGGGAUCUCCAUGGGGAGGGAGGUGCAGAUUUCCUGCAGCAUAUCUGAGGGGUGAAGAGAGUGGAGAGCAUGAGGGGAAUAAACAGGUGGGGGCUGAUUAUCCAGAGAACAUGAGGUUCUCUGCAAGAACCUCUAGGGCAAUAUAGAAUAGUGUUGAUAACAAAGAGUUUAAAGUAAUGAAGAGCCCCAACAAGUCUCUUCACUUAUUUCAGGCUGCAGGGACAAUCGUACAAGUCCCUAAUCCCUUAUUUGACACCUUUAGGGACAGAUGUAUUUUGGAAUUCAGAACUUUUCAGAUUUUAGAAAGGGAAAAUAGUGCCUUUAUCAUAUAUAAAGGAAUACCCUAGUGAGAUUCAGGGCAGUGCCUAUAAUCAAACAUCAAUAUUUCUGCAGCUAACUCUAUGAAUAUUCACACUAAGUGAAAUAAAUAAAUACAAGAAAUACAAUUGUGAUGGUUCAGGUCAGGUUUUGGGCCAUAGUUAUGAAAAAACUAUUGUUUCAUCUGAGAUUUUUUAUUUUGGAAUUGUAGAUAAGGGAUUAUGGGUUUAUAAUUGUUCUCAGGUGGUUGUGAGGAGUAAGAGUGCCAGUAAAGCCUUCUAAACACACCACAUGGUAGGUAUGAAUGCAAUCUCAUUCCAAAGCAAAAUACAAAUGUCCAAGCGGGUGGAUCUUUGGCUUGAAGGAAGAAAGUUCUUACAAUGAACAAUGUAUAGGUAUGAAUCAGCUGCCUUGGGGAGUUGUGCACAGCCAGGUAGUGAAGGUGCCUUAGAAGAGAGGCUUCCUGUGGUGGGAGGGUGACAGAAUUCAUUGCUUAUGAACAUUGGCUGCACAUGAUUUCUUAUUUCAUGUACCACAGUGGAAAGGCAAAAACUGGUGGCGCGUGUAUGUGGGACACAGGACUGUCACACAUAUAAAUUCUUUAUAAUAUAUUUCUUUAUAAUAAUGUUAUAAUAAAUAUCUUACUGCAUA